GGGCCCGUAGUUCAGCUGGUAGAACGCCUCAUUUGCAAUGAGGAGGUCAGCGGUUCGAGUCCGCUCGGGUCCACAA
rnacentral:tRNA from 1 species